CCAUUUGGGCAGAGGGAUCCUCCUCUCAUCAUCACUGAUGUUGUCUAAGGGAAAGUUAAGACUGAUUUGAUGCUAUGAAUUUAUGAAGCAGGAACAUGUGUGGCCAUUUGAGCUGGUUGCCUUUGAGAACCACAAAGUUACAGACCUCCAGGAGCCAGAGAGAUCUGGGGAGGUGUGCUGCAACCUGUAAUCUUUUUGUUUCAUAGCCAUGAGUUCUGCAUCACUAUAAAUCUGGCUGGGAAAUCAGGUUUUCCCCUUUCUUUCCCCCCAACCAAGAAGGACAAGGAGGUUCCUAUCUUGCUGGAGGGGGACAUAAGACCUGGCCAGCACUGGCAGUGCUACCAAUUAGGCCUGGACUGGCUUAAUUUGGCCUGGAGUUGCUAAGCUGAAUUCUGUGCUGUGUUAUAGUGGUUUUGGUAUGGGGGUAGAGAGGCAUGGGUGGGGGUGGCAUGUGAGCCUGGGAUUUUGUUUCUCAUGUAAAGCUUUGGCCUAAGUAAAGCAUGACAGAGAUGUACUAUGGAUUUUUGUGUCUUUUGUGUUCCUGCACUAUUGUAAGUAGUUGCAAAUAGCCUUUCCAAUAAAGCUUUCCAAUUCUCCAAUC